rnacentral:rRNA from 1 species
GAUGAACGCUAGCUACAGGCUUAACACAUGCAAGUCGAGGGGAAACGAUAUUGGAAGCUUGCUUCCGAUAGGCGUCGACCGGCGCACGGGUGAGUAACGCGUAUCCAACCUGCCCACCACUUGGGGAUAACCUUGCGAAAGUAAGACUAAUACCCAAUGACGUCUCUAGAAGACAUCUGAAAGAGAUUAAAGAUUUAUCGGUGAUGGAUGGGGAUGCGUCUGAUUAGCUUGUUGGCGGGGUAACGGCCCACCAAGGCAACGAUCAGUAGGGGUUCUGAGAGGAAGGUCCCCCACAUUGGAACUGAGACACGGUCCAAACUCCUACGGGAGGCAGCAGUGAGGAAUAUUGGUCAAUGGGGCGAGAGCCUGAACCAGCCAAGUAGCGUGCAGGACGACGGCCCUAUGGGUUGUAAACUGCUUUUAUAAGGGAAUAAAGUGAGUCUCGUGAGACUUUUUGCAUGUACCUUAUGAAUAAGGACCGGCUAAUUCCGUG